rnacentral:rRNA from 1 species
GACAGAGGUGCCAAGCGUUAGGCGGAAUCACUGGGCUUAAAGCGUGUGUAGGCGGAUGCCUAAGUCCCUUGUGAAAUCCCCCGGCUCAACCGGGGAACGGCUGGGUAUACUGGUUGUCUUGAGCCAGCUAGGGGCGAGCGGAACAGUCGGUGGAGCGGUGAAAUGCGUAGAUAUCGUCUGGAACGCCGAAGGUGAAAACAGCUCGCUGGGGCUGCGCUGACGCUGAGACACGAAAGCCAGGGGAGCGAACGGG